UUGGCAGCUCUGGUGAUCAGUCCUCAGCUUAUUUACAGAGAAGCAGCAGGUCAGUCUUCCUGCGCACGCUCCCUGGCUAGCAUACCUGAGUCCUGAUCAGGGAAGGGACUUCCUCUGUGUAACCACAGAGACAGUUCAGUCUCCAUAGCCUAUGCAGCCCUUGGCCUCU
rnacentral:sRNA from 1 species